rnacentral:rRNA from 1 species
UACAGAGGGUGCGAGCGUUGUUCGGAAUUAUUGGGCGUAAAGGGCGCGUAGGCGGUGAGGUAAGUCACCUGUGAAAUCUCCUGGCUCAACUGGGAGCUUGCAGGCGAAACUGCCGUGCUGGAGUGUGGGAGAGGUGCGUGGAAUUCCUGGUGUAGCGGUGAAAUGCGUAGAUAUCGGGAGGAACACCUGCGGUGUAGACGGCUUACUGGACCAUAACUGACGCUGAGGCACGAAAGCGUGGGUAGCAAACAGG